AGUGGCGGACGGGUGAGUAACGCGUAAGAAUCUAACUUCAGGACGGGGACAACAGUGGGAAACGACUGCUAAUACCCGAUGUGCCGCGAGGUGAAACCUAAUUGGCCUGAAGAAGAGCUUGCGUCUGAUUAGCUAGUUGGUGGGGUAAGAGCCUACCAAGGCGACGAUCAGUAGCUGGUCUGAGAGGAUGAGCAGCCACACUGGGACUGAGACACGGCCCAGACUCCUACGGGAGGCAGCAGUGGGGAAUUUUCCGCAAUGGGCGAAAGCCUGACGGAGCAACGCCGCGUGAGGGAGGAAGGUCUUUGGAUUGUAAACCUCUUUUCUCAAGGAAGAAGUUCUGACGGUACUUGAGGAAUCAGCCCUCGGCUAACUCCGUGCCAGCAGCCGCGGUAAUACGGGGGAGGCAAGCGUUAUCCGGAAUUAUUGGGCGUAAAGCGUCCGCAGGUGGUCAGCCAAGUCUGCCGUCAAAUCAGGUUGCUUAACGACCUAAAGGCGGUGGAAACUGGCAGACUAGAGAGCAGUAGGGGUAGCAGGAAUUCCCAGUGUAGCGGUGAAAUGCGUAGAGAUUGGGAAGAACAUCGGUGGCGAAAGCGUGCUACUGGGCUGUAUCUGACACUCAGGGACGAGAGCUAGGGGAGCGAAAGGGAUUAGAUACCCCUGUAGUCCUAGCCGUAAACGAUGGAUACUAGGCGUGGCU
rnacentral:rRNA from 1 species